CAAUAGCGUAUAUUAAAGUUGUUGCAGUUAAAAAGCUCGUAGUUGGAUUUGUGGCGUACGGUGUGUUCCGGGCACUUGUUGUCUGAGUAACCUGCUGUUGCCAUCCUUGGGUGGAACCUGUGUGGCAUUAGGUUGUCGUGCAGGGGAUGCCCAUCAUUUACUGUGAAAAAAUUAGAGUGUUCAAAGCAGGCUUAUGCCGUUGAAUAUAUUAGCAUGGAAUAAUGAGAUAGGACUUUUUUGCUAUUUUGUUGGUUUGCGCAAGGAGGUAAUGAUUAAUAGGGACAGUUGGGGGUAUUCGUAUUCCAUUGUCAGAGGUGAAAUUCUUGGAUUUUUGGAAGACGAACUACUGCGAAAGCAUUUACCAAGGAUGUUUUCAUUAA
rnacentral:rRNA from 1 species